rnacentral:rRNA from 1 species
GCAUGUGGUUUAAUUCGACGCAACGCGAAGAACCUUACCAGGGCUUGACAUUUACCUGACGCAUAUUAGAGAUAGUAUGCUAUCUUCGGAACAGGUAAACAGGUGGUGCAUGGUUGUCGUCAGCUCGUGUCGUGAGAUGUUGGGUUAAGUCCCGCAACGAGCGCAACCCUUAUUCUUAGUUGCCAUCAGGUGAAGCUGGGCACUCUAGGGAGACUGCCGGUGACAAACCGGAGGAAGGUGGGGAUGACGUCAAAUCAUCAUGCCCUUUAUGUCCUGGGCUACACACGUGCUACAAUGGCCGGUACAACGGGUAGCGAGACCGCGAGGUUUAGCCAAUCCCUUAAAGCCGGUCUCAGUUCGGAUUGCAAGCUGCAACUCGCCUGCAUGAAGUCGGAAUCGCUAGUAAUCGCGAAUCAGCACGUCGCGGUGAAUACGUUCCCGGGCCUUGUACACACCGCCCGUCACACCACGAAAGCCGGCAACACCCGAAGCCGGUGGCCUAACCGCGAGGAAGGAGCCGUCGAAGGUGGGGCUGGUGAUUGGGGUGAAGUCGUAACAAGGUAACCAAGGGCGAA